rnacentral:rRNA from 1 species
ACGAACGCUGGCGGCGCGUCUUAAGCAUGCAGGUCGAACGGCAAGAGAGGAGCUUGCUUCUCUCCUAGAGUGGCGGACUGGUGAGGAACACGUGGGUAAUCUACCCUUAAGAUGGGGAUAGCUGCUAGAAAUAGCAGGUAAUACCGAAUACACUCGGCAUAUCACAAGAGGUGUUGAGGAAAGGAAGCUACGGCUUCGCUUGAGGAUGAGCUUGCGUCCCAUUAGCUAGUUGGUGAGGUAAAGGCCCACCAAGGCGACGAUGGGUAUCCGGCCUGAGAGGGUGAACGGACACAUUGGGACUGAGAUACGGCCCAAACUCCUACGGGAGGCAGCAGCUAAGAAUAUUCCGCAAUGGACGGAAGUCUGACGGAGCGACGCCGCGUGGAUGAAGAAGGCUGAAAAGUUGUAAAAUCCUUUUGUUGAUGAAGAAUAAGGGUGAGAGGGAAUGCUCAUCUGAUGACGGUAAUCGACGAAUAAGCCCCGGCUAAUUACGUG